rnacentral:lncRNA from 1 species
AAAUAUUAAAUAACAUAUAUAUAUAUAUAUGUAUGUAAGUUAGACAUAAUUACUAUUAUAAAUUUCUUCAACAAGCUUAUGGAUUUUACGUAAAUUUUUUUGUUAGGCAUCGAUGAAGGAGAUCAUCCACCUACAACAAUGUGAAUUGAAACUCAUUGUUCCCCUAUCAUGUCUUAAUUCUGUUCGAAUCUUGUUCAACUUUGCUCUCGUAAGUAUUAUACUACUAUCAUAACAAAAACAUUAUCAUUAUUUGAACUAUCAUUAAUAUCUUGGAGCAUACAGAAAUGAGGAUAUGAUAAACAUUUUACAGUACUUCAAAUUAAGGAUUAGCUGUACCAAAUAUUAGAUUUGUCAAAUGUUAGAGGUGAAAGGAAGCUAUUUCCUUUGCAACUCGGAGUGUUUGAAUUGUCCAAUCUAGAAAGAGGGCGAAAUUAUCUUUAGAUUCUUUGAGUAUAGUAUAAAUUAAUUAUGAGAUAAAUCAACUUUCAAUAAUUGUAUCAACACAAACUAAUUUAUUUAUUUUCUCAUGAAAUUUUACAGGUGCAACGUGUGUAUCAAUUUGUCAAAUAUUAGAUAUAAAGUACAUGACUUGCAUUUGACGUUUAGUGGAAAUUGGGCCAGAUGAAACUUCAACCCAACAAGGAAACUCUUGAAGUUGCUAAUUAUUUAUAUUUCCAGCUUGUGAAAAUAGUUGGUAAAACAAUUCUGUUUUUAUAUCAUAGUACUUAAUUUUUGAAAAAGGUUCAUUGAGUGCCCAUCAUAAGAAAUGCGAUGUAUUACUUAAGAUCCUCUUAUAUUGCUAACUGAUUUGUAUAAUAUAAAGUUGUUAUUGAUCUCCUUUACUUGGCUAUAUGUACAAACGAUCAAUAUUUGCUCCGAGCAAAGAUCUUAAAAGAAC